rnacentral:rRNA from 1 species
AGCGAACGCUGGCGGCAGGCCUAACACAUGCAAGUCGAACGCCCAGCAAUGGGAGUGGCAGACGGGAUAGUAACACGUGGGAACGCGCCCUUCGGUUCGGAAUAACUCAGGGAAACUUGAGCUAAUACCGGAUACGCCCUUACGAGGAAAGAUUUAUUGCCGAAGGAACGGCCCGCGUCGGAUUAGCUAGUUGGUGAGGUAAUGGCUCACCAAGGCGACGAUCCGUAGCUGGUCUGAGAGGAUGACCAGCAUCACUGGGACUGAGACACGGCCCAGACUCCUACGGGAGGCAGCAGUGGGGAAUAUUGGACAAUGGGCGCAAGCCUGAUCCAGCCAUGCCGCGUGGAUGAUGAAGGCCCUA